AAUACCACAAGGAUGGGCAACUAUGGUAAAAACCUAGGACAGCAUAUGCACCUGGAAGAAUACUACUCACAUGGCAUUGCAAGUGCCUUCCAUAGAAAUGAAGUCAACCCAGAUAAUUUUGAUCAUUUCAAAUCAUGGCAUGAAUCAUGGCAGACCAGGAAAAGACAAUGAUUUACUACUUUGAAGGGCAAGCAUGUGUGUGAUUAAAGAAUAUAAGUGCAGGACUCCAAGAUUUACUUCCUUCCUGCUCUGUCCAGCAGGGAUACCUGAGGAGAGCAAAAUCCAUCUACUGAAGAAAACAACUGCAUUGCUCUCUCCAGAAGAAAAUGUGCCUUUGAUAUUAAAGUGUUAUGAAGGAGUACAAACGAGAGAGGAGAUCUGGCAAAUGGCACUAGCCGUGAUAAAGAAGGAAUACUACAUUUUCCUAGAGAGCAUUUACUUCCAUGAACAGGAUGUGAAACUGGCUUUCAUUUGCAAGGAUACAAUCUGCCACUUUCAUUUUGUAUCAUCAUCACCCACCAAAAGGCAAUCCUUUUCCAAGGACAAGAGUAAAAAGAAGCAGAAGAAAGGCCUGAAAGGAAUAAAAUGA
rnacentral:lncRNA from 1 species